AUUGAACGCUGGCGGCAUGCCUUACACAUGCAAGUCGAACGGUAACAGGUCUUCGGAUGCUGACGAGUGGCGAACGGGUGAGUAAUACAUCGGAACGUGCCCGAUCGUGGGGGAUAACGGAGCGAAAGCUUUGCUAAUACCGCAUAUGAUCUACGGAUGAAAGCAGGGGACCGCAAGGCCUUGCGCGGACGGAGCGGCCGAUGGCAGAUUAGGUAGUUGGUGGGAUAAAAGCUUACCAAGCCGACGAUCUGUAGCUGGUCUGAGAGGACGACCAGCCACACUGGGACUGAGACACGGCCCAGACUCCUACGGGAGGCAGCAGUGGGGAAUUUUGGACAAUGGGCGAAAGCCUGAUCCAGCCAUGCCGCGUGCAGGAUGAAGGCCUUCGGGUUGUAAACUGCUUUUGUACGGAACGAAAAGACUCUUUCUAAUAAAGAGGGUCCAUGACGGUACCGUAAGAAUAAGCACCGGCUAACUACGUG
rnacentral:rRNA from 1 species